AAAGCAAUUGCUUAACGAUUGUAUGCAUUGGAAACUUCUAGUCUAGAGUUUGGUAGAGAGUCCUGGAACUCCAUGUGGAGCGGUGAAAUGCGUAGAUAUAUGGAAGAACACCAGAGGCGAAGGCGAGGACUUGGGCCAAUACUGACGCUUAGGCUUGAAAGUGUGGGGAGCAAAUAGGAUUAGAUACCCUAGUAGUCCACACUGUAAACGAUGGAUGUUAAGUGUCGGAGCGAAUACUUCGGUGCUGCAGUUAACACAUUAAACAUCCUGCCUGAGUAGUACAUUCGCAAGAAUGAAACUCAAACGGAAUUGACGGGGACCCGCACAAGUGGUGGAGCAUGUUGCUUAAUUCGACGGUACACGAAAAACCUUACCUAGACUUGACAUCUUGGGCGAAGCUAUAGAAAUAUAGUGGAGGUCAACCCAAUGACAGGUGGUGCAUGGUUGUCGUCAGCUCGUGUCGUGAGAUGUUGGGUUAAGUCCCGCAACGAGCGCAACCCUUAUCGUUAGUUACUUUGUCUAACGAGACUGCCAACGUAAGUUGGAGGAAGGUGGGGAUGACGUCAAAUCAUCAUGCCCCUUAUGUCUAGGGCUGCAAACGUGCUACAAUGGCCAAUACAAACAGUUGCAAAUCCGUAAGGUGGAGCUAAUCUGUAAAGUUGGUCUCAGUUCGGAUUGAGGGCUGCAAUUCGCCCUCAUGAAGUCGGAAUCACUAGUAAUCGCGAAUCAGCCAUGUCGCGGUGAAUACGUUCUCGGGUCUUGUACACACCGCCCGUCAAA
rnacentral:rRNA from 1 species